rnacentral:rRNA from 1 species
AGUAACGCGUGAGGAACCUGCCUCAAAGAGGGGGACAACAGUUGGAAACGACUGCUAAUACCGCAUAAGCCCACGGCUCGGCAUCGAGCAGAGGGAAAAGGAGUGAUCCACUUUGAGAUGGCCUCGCGUCCGAUUAGCUAGUUGGUGAGGUAACGGCCCACCAAGGCGACGAUCGGUAGCCGGACUGAGAGGUUGAACGGCCACAUUGGGACUGAGACACGGCCCAG